rnacentral:rRNA from 1 species
GGGCAUCUGACUGCUUAUUGCACCACAUGUGUUUUUCUUUGAAACAAACUUGCUUUGGCGGUGGGCCCAGCCUGCCGCCAGAGGUCUAAACUUACAACCAAUUUUUUAUCAACUUGUCACACCAGAUUAUUACUAAUAGUCAAAACUUUCAACAACGGAUCUCUUGGUUCUCGCAUCGAUGAAGAACGCAGCGAAAUGCGAUACGUAAUAUGAAUUGCAGAUAUUCGUGAAUCAUCGAAUCUUUGAACGCACAUUGCGCCCUCUGGUAUUCCGGAGGGCAUGCCUGUUUGAGCGUCGUUUCUCCCUCAAACCGCUGGGUUUGGUGUUGAGCAAUACGACUUGGGUUUGCUUGAAAGACGGUAGUGGUAAGGCGGGAUCGCUUUGACAAUGGCUUAGGUCUAACCAAAAACAUUGCUUGCGGCGGUAACGUCUACCACGUAUAUCUUCAAACUUUGACCUCAAAUCAGGUAGGACUACCCGCUGAACUUAAGCAUAUCAAAAGGCGGAGGAA